UACAGAGGGGGCAAGCGUUGUUCGGAAUUACUGGGCGUAAAGGGCGCGUAGGUGGCCUUCUAAGUUGAACGUGAAAUCCCUGGGCUCAACCCAGGAACUGCGUCCAAGACUGGGAGGCUUGAAUCCGGGAGAGGGAUGUGGAAUUCCAGGUGUAGCGGUGAAAUGCGUAGAUAUCUGGAGGAACACCGGUGGCGAAGGCGGCAUCCUGGACCGGUAUUGACGCUGAUGCGCGAAAGCCAGGGGAGCAAACGGG
rnacentral:rRNA from 1 species